rnacentral:rRNA from 1 species
GACGAACGCUGGCGGCGUGCUUAACACAUGCAAGUCGAGCGGUAAGGCCCUUUCGGGGGUACACGAGCGGCGAACGGGUGAGUAACACGUGGGUGACCUGCCCUCAGCUCUGGGAUAAGCCUGGGAAACCGGGUCUAAUACCGGAUAUGACUCCAUGACGCAUGUUGUGGGGGUGAAAGCCUUGUGCGGCUGAGGAUGGGCCCGCGGCCUAUCAGCUCGUUGGNGGGGUGAUGGCCUACCAAGGCGACGACGGGUAGCCGGCCUGAGAGGGCGACCGGCCACACUGGGACUGAGACACGGCCCAG